rnacentral:ncRNA from 3 species
GAGGUAUUAAAUCCUACCGCUGCCGA